CUAGGUAAGAGGACUGUGAAAACAUUUCCUCUUUGAGUGUCUUGUAAAAUAUUUGAAAGCUGUCCUGGUUUAAGCUUCCUUUAAGGAAGAGUAUAUAUAAUACCAUUCCCAUGUCAAUCUAGUCUCUGCUCUAUUUGUUUUGGGUCACACAUAGAAGUCAUUGAAUCAAAUGAGUUUUAAAAUAUACCAGCUGUCCACUAGGACCUGAGCUGAAACUAUUAACUUAUUUUAUUCAGGUCCUUGGGUGGCUGUGAUACAGACAAUGGUCCCCCUGGUCGGGUUUGCACGAAAGUCAUUGCGUAGCAAAACUUCCCCGAGGCCGUAUUUUUAUGUUUCAUUUUCAGGAUGUUGGUGCCACAGAAGCAAUUAAAAUUUGUGAAUAAUGUAUUUCCCCUCUUGAUAAAUAAUGUGGAUGGCCCGCAGUCUACUCAUAUUCCUGGCUGGGGAUUUAACAGGCUAUUGUGUUAGCAACAAUAUGGAUGCAAAUUGUAAACAUUCAUCAUCUCCAGGGCUUCAUGCAAUUUUCAAAACAAUGUUGAAAAAGAUGCUCCAACUCCAUCCCAAAACAAACCACGGUUUGGGUGCUUUUCUUACAGUUUCCAAAGCCAGCUUAUUUUCCAGUAACUUCUAUCUAUUGUAUAAAAUAUUGCAAACUCUACCAGAAAGCGAAUAGUUGUGGAUUAAAAGCUUAAUAAUGUCCCAUCUCUUUAGAUGGCAUGAACUAUUGUUUAAAGGUGUAUUACCCAAACCUCCCAUACGGUGGAAUUUAAUAGUAAAUCCCCUGUCCGUAUUUACUAGCAUGUAUUUACAAGGCAAAUUGAAUUUGUGUAGCGAAAACUUCCCAAUGCUAUCUUUAAUCUUAAAUUUUUAUGACAAUUAUUAUCUUUAUUCAUGGAAACCUUUGAUCCUAACUGGGAAGCCUGAAGAUUUGAAAGUCUUAAGUUUUUGCCAGGGACGGGAGACUUUUAUCAUUAUGACUCAGAAUGGCACUGUUGAGAAGGAUGUGGGUCAGUAUGGCAGUGUUAGGGGAAGGAGCUGGGUCAGUACAGCAGUGUUAGAACAUCUGUCACUACGGCACUGUUAAGAGAAGGAUGUGAGUCAGUACGGCAGUGCUAGGAGAAGGACCUGGGUCAGUACCACACUGUUAGGGGAAGGAUGUGGGUCAGUACAGCAGUGUUAGGAGAAAGUCCUGGGUCAGCAUGGCAGUGUUAGGAGAAGGACAUGGGUCAGUAUAUCACUGUUAGGGGAAGGAUGUAGGUCAGCAUGGCAGUGUUGAAAAGGACAUGGUCAGUAAGUGCAAGCCACCUUCUUUUGAGACUCUGAUCAUGUGGGGGAAAAAGACAAUAUAACUCAUGGAGUAGGGUCACAAAAGACACAAAAUCUAGUUGGUAGAUCCAUCAAAAUAUAAGACACAGGAAAGUAUAAGGAAUAAAAAUUUAGUAAAUGGCCAUCGAAUAAAUAUUUUAUAUUUCUUAAGAAAAAUGCUAUUUUCUGAGAUGCAAAGAUUUCAUAGAGAAAGUAAAAUCGAAUGAAGAUUUUUUUGGGGGGAGGGUGAACUCUAAAUAACAGUAGUCCCCUUUAUUCAUGUGUAUGUAUUCCAAAAUCCCUAUAGAUAGAUGGCAAAACACUGCAUUAUGUGUUUUCACUAAAUAUAUCUAUGAUGAAACUAAACUUAUAAAUUAGGGACAAUAAAAGACUAACAAUGACUAACAAGCAGGACAAUUGUUACAAUAUUUAUGCACCAUGGGGACUGCCAGAAUCACUACUCUGUGCCUUUGGUUGUCUAUUAAGUAAAAUGAAGGUUACAGGAAAGGGGACUUUGUGACGUAUAGUGGCCAAGUCCAUGACUUUGAUGUUGUGGGGUGACCAAUGAGUAGAUAGGGUUCAUAUGUGGAUGGGGAGAGGCUCCUUGGUUGGAAGCCCCAUAGGAGAGUCAUAAAGACAAAGGAAGCUUACAGGAUUGGGAGCAACAGGGAGAUGCCUGGGAGAUGAGUUUCCUUAAUCCAGGAAGUGGAGAGAUGACGAUGACAGGAAGCAAAGCCAAGACAUUGAAAACCCUGAGACAAACUGCUUUGAGACCUGGCUGCUGUGGGUUGACCAGUUCUCUGGUAAGGAUGUAGGCAAUCUCUACUACAUCAGACCAGUAGAAUUUGUAUGAUCCAGUGUCUUUGGGCUAAAGUUUUCUUCUAUGCAGAGGAGGUAAUAUCUGUCCUGCAGAGGUGUGAGGGCUUUAAGAAAUGCGAGCUCAAUGUGACCUAAGGAGCUCUGAUCAUGUUAGCAGUCAUUUUCUGAGGGGUGGAUUGGCAGGGUGGACACACUGAGGUCUUCUGCAAUGGGAAAUGAUGUCAUUAAAUGAGUAGGUGUAGAGUUUGGGGAGUGCUAACUUUAAAUAAUGUGUAGAGUUAAUCAAAGAAGCGCGCGCGUGUGUGUGUGUGUGUGUUGGGGUGAAGGGGAUGGUACCGCAGUAUAGUGAAAUGAGGCUUGAGGAAGCCAUACUGUAGUGAGGCAUAGUAGUAAAAGUGAACUCAAUGACAGUGAUGAAACCUAGAGGAAAACACGUUAACCUAAGGAUAAAGAAAAAGCACCAAACUAGUAGAAGAAAACACUAAAAUCUUGUAAAGAACAAUUAAAAAAAGUUUUAGUUUCUCAAUGGGUCUAUUUCUUAUCUUCUUAGUUGAUGACAGGCCUUUAUCCAUCAACUAUGAGUACUUAAUUUUGUGGCAUUGAUCAUUGGGUCUGAAGGUGAUCAUGUCAGAAAGUUGGGCCUGUUUUCUUACAACAUUUAUACUUGAAGACAAAUCCUACUGUCUCUCUGGACAGGGCUCAAAGAUAACUCACCAGAAACCUCUAGUGGAGUCUAAGACUAUGAAGCCAAUCAGGGGUUAGAGGAGAAGCAGCAAGAUUUAGAGGUUUUGUGACAAUGAGAUUAAUUAAGGCUCACAGACUUGGCAGGUGUCUUUUACAAUUUCUGUAAGCUAACCACAAUCUUUUCAGUAGACGCCUUUCUGUUUAAGCUAGGCUGUGUCAUAGAGAUAUCAAUAUAUUGGACAGCAUAAGAUAAAGUUUCUGCAACCUAAAAUAUGAUAAAAAUUAAGCCCAAAAUUGGGAAAUACUUAUAAUAAAUACAAUUUGAUAAGAAGGUUAUUCUCAUUGAGUGUAAAGAAUUUACAAAUUUGUAAGAAAAUAACAUUGAGAGAAGUGACAUAGGCCACAAGCGGGCCACUUGCAAAAAAGUACAAUCAAUAAAAUAAGCCUGCUUGAAUAUCAAUCAAAUAUAAACCAAAAUAGCAAAGGAUUUUCACCAAUCAUAUUGCAAGGUUUUGGAAAAUAGGAUAGUAAUAUUUGUGAAUAACAUGUGGGAUAUUCCAAUUUUCUUAAAGUAUCCUUCUGUUGUACAUCAAAAGCCUUCAAAAUGUCUAUAAUUUUUAAUGGAAAUAUUCUGUGUUUAGGACUUAUAUAUGAUUGAACAUCCCAGUGUGAAUCUCUCUGUCUAUAAAACUGUGUACAUAGGCACAAAGACUCACAUACAAAGAUGAUGGUGAUACACUACUCAAAUUAUAAGUAAUUAUCAGAUUAAUUAAGAAUGAAGAAUCACAUGAUGGAAAAUGAAGCAUCAACAAAUCACGUGAAUUUAGACUGUUCUUGUCAUUGGAAAAGCUCACUGAAGAACUCUAAUGCAGAAUGAGCACAGGUUAAGAUGAUCUGCUAAGGUCUCAGUUGCUGUUGUUCCAAGUGCAUAUGAUGCAUGCAGAUCUUAGAAGGUGAAAUGAAACUUUCACUGUGGCCUUAAAGUUUUUGGCUAACACAGUGCAUAGUUGAUGUUCAUAUUCUUAACAAAGGUGUUAGAGCCUCUAUAGUAUUAUUCACUGUAAAUUAAUGAAAAAGCAAAGCCCAGUAAUCAAUGUUAACAGUAGCAGAAGGCUGCAGAAGAGAUCUACUGCUACCCCCAGAAAGGAUCAUUGGUAGCUGUUUGUAGAAGUUAAGAGUGCUAUAUGGCAUGAAUCUGAGCCCCCUGGAGGUGGUCUGAAGAUGGGAAGUUGGCUGGCACUGUUCAUCUGUUCAUCAAAGGGGUGAAGGGAGCAUCAGGGUUACUCCUAGAUGAUGCUGUGUGUUUUUUCCCAUGGUGAGAGAGGUGGAGUAAGGAAAAUGAAUGGCCUCCUCCACUUCAGGUCCCUGAGCUGCACAUAGAUCUGGGCUCACAGAAAGUACCCAUUUUGCCUUGGACUUAAACCUGCAUUUGUUACUGUUUGCACAACAAGAAGCUCCAGUAGUUCCGAGAGGGGAAGCCUAUGGGGUCUGCCUACAUUUAAUGGCUGAGGAAGGGGGAUGACUGACGAUACAGGUUUGAAGGCAGUAUGUGUGCAUAUGGGGUGCUUCAUGCUUGAAGCAGUGAGCAUGUUUGUGGAGACCGAGCCCUUGCUAUUCUCCAACAGUCCCAUCUUAUUAACAACUGCUCCUAGCAAACCACACUAGGAUUUACACAUAAGCAGUAUCUGUGUCAUCUCUGUGGGGUGAGGGUCUGGGUGCCACAACUAAAACAAAGACAAGCAAACAAAACCAAAUCGGAAUGAAACAGAGUUAGAUGACAAAAUAAGAUAUAAGCGGAAGGCAUUGUAUAAGAAAUGGCGCAUGGACUUAAGACCUGGGCAACAAGAGGGGACUCGUGCUUACUACUGGAAACCUGUCUACUCAGUGCUAGCUAGAGAAGUCAUGGUUUUUGGAGGAGAAUCUACGGCCUCUCAUUUCCUAAACAUUAAGUCUAAACAUUAGUCCUUAUACCGACAUCUAAGUGUAGUCUUCACUCAUUAAGGAAACUUCUCUUUGAAACAGAUGGGAUCAUUCCAUAAAACUACAGGCAAUCAAAAGUUAGAGUCGUAGAGACCAGUUGCAGUGGGCAUAUUUACAAAACGACUCCUGCACCCAAGGCUCAGGGAACCUUGCCAAAGGGGUAGACAAAUUGUAAGAGCCAGAGGAUCAGGGAGUUUACUGUUCAGACGACGUCUCCUAGCACUGUCAGACGUGACACACAUAAACUGUCACCAACAUGGCUGACCAAACAUAGGUUGAACGAGGAUGAAAUUAAUGAAUGUGCCAAACUGGUUAGGGAAAAAAAUCCCACAGGGCCUUAGCUCUACGUGAAAAGCUAUAGGCAACUGAGGUAAGCUGGGAAGGCUGUUCUUCCUCAGGCCUUGUGCCAUGGUCAGCCCUGGAGACAUACAUGCAAGUGAGAUGAUGUGGAUCGAACGAACGGGUUAUAUUUAGGGAUAUAUAUAUAUAUAUAUAUAUAUAUAUAUGGAUAUAGUGUACACAUAUGCAUGUGAUAGCGAUUAGUGAAAGCAAGAGGUCACGAAUUUAGAGGAGAUUGGGGAUCUCUGUAUGGAAGGGUUUAGAAGGAGAAAUGUAAUUGUCUUAUAGAAAUAAUAAUAAAUGGCUCCAGCGGGGGGAACAAGAAGCAAGAUCAAAAGUUCAGGAGGGAAGAGAAUUAAUUGUCUUUUACUUAUGUCUAAAGAGCUGCUCGUUGUAUCUAUAUUUCUGUUGGCGUGACUUUCCUUAUCCCUCUUCAUGUCUCGCCGUACUGUGCUGUCACCCUCCUUCCUGAGAAGAUUCAGUGACCUCAUAAUUAGUAUGUAUUCUGCCCGUCAAGUUCUGUUUCGUCAGCAGAGCCAUCUCAAAAUAGGCUCUCCUUACUUUCCAUCUCUCCCUAGCUCUUCCAAAACAUCUUGUUAACUAGGGUCAAGCCAAUUUCUUCAUGGUCUUUUAUUAGAGAACAAGGGUAAUGACUUGGGCCUCUGUUAAUUUUUCAUGAAUUUAAAUUGUUUCCAGGAGCUCACCUUGGGCUCAGUUUUCCUUUUGUUUGAGGGAAGCAAACACUUGGUUUAGUAGUUGGUAAUAUAUUAAGCAAAAUUCUCAGUUUUCUCCCCCUCCUUCUCCUCCUCCCUUUCCCCUUCCCUCUCUCCCUCUCACUCCCCUCCCCUUCCUCCUCCCCCUCCCCUCCCCCUCCCUCUCUCCCUACCCUGCCUUCUCACUCUCUCCCUCCCCCUCCCCUCCCCUUCUCCCCCCCUCCUUCCCCUCCCCCUCCCCUCUCUCCAUGAAUGAUGGAAUGAUGGGACUGGUGUGUGUGUGUGUGUGUGUGUGUGUGUGUGUGUGUGUGUGUGUGCGCGCAAUCAUACACUCUACACUAUAUUAUUUAGGAUAAUCUCAGAAAAUAUCUUUGAACUGAUUGUACCUAAGUAAUUUCCAUGGACUCGCUCAAUCUGAUAAUUCAUUACCAAAGCUACUAGGUUUCUGGAAUUUAAGCUGGCCCCUGUUUCUUUCCUGAAUCUGAUAAAUUUCCUAGAUCGUGAUUUUUUUUUUUUUUUACUUAAUGUUAUAGUUAUGUGAAAGUAAUUGGCUAUAACGACUUAAAUCAGAUAAAAGAGAUUUAGAUUAAAAGUGAACCAUCCCAAUUUAAAUCAAUUUGUACUCACAAUAAAAAGAAACAUCUUUAUGUUACUAUUAUCAUUUUAAGACUAUUUUCUGGAUCUCCAAACAAGCUUAUUAAAACCGUGGGAGGGGCUGACAAGCUGGCUUAGUAAGGAAAGGUGCCCACUGCCAGGCCUGACGACCUGGGGUUGAUCCCUAGGACCCAUGUGGAAGGAGAGAGAACAGGUUUUCACAAUUUGUCCUCUGACCUGCACAUAAAGACUGUCGCAUGUGCAUACCUUCACGUUUAUGCACAUAUAUACACACAAUAAAUGUAAUAAAACAACACAUCUUCAAUUUUUGACAUCUGGUAAAUAUACCUUUUGCUUGACAUUGGUGAACAGACUCAGGGAAUUCAAACAGAGGCUCCCACUUUCAUAUACAUAUAUUUGGAAAAAGAAAUUAUAAAUGUAUUCUCUUUUACACAAGCUGAGUGUUAAAGUGAAAACAAGAGAGAGGUUAGAUAUUGGCAGAGGUCAAGGCAUUCUUUCAAGUCCAAAAAAGGGCCACGUCUAAUAGGACUGAUGUGAGCUGCGUUCUUCAGCCAUCCUAGUUACAGCCCAUGGGCUGGAUUUGACCUCAUCACCAUUGACAACAGUACUGGUCAUAAUACCAACAGCUUUAGAUGUUAGGUAUUUUAAAACUCACAAUCAGUCAUUCAUAGAAACUCAAUCCUAGUUGAACAGAUUUUUCUUGGUCUGUGCUCCUCUUUUAUCAGAUCCCCCAACUCCAUUGUUUUAUACAGCAGCAAGGCUGAGGUAGACUUUGAAACACUAAGGCCUGAUCUCAGUCUGCAGAUCAGCCUAUCUCAGGAGGAGCCUAAACCCAGAGACAAACCUGAUACGAGUGUAUUGCCAUCAACACAGUAAUUUCAUCAUCAACUUGACUGGAUUUCGAGUCACCUUGGAGAUGUACCUGUCGGGCUGCCUCUGAGAUAUUUUCCAAAGAGAUUUAACUGAGGGACAACCCACCCUGACUGAGGACAGUACCGUCCCAUGCAUGGGCUGAGGUCCAAAGUCAAGUGGACAGGACCUAGAAAGUGAGCUGCGUGCCAGCAUCUCUCUCUCUGCUUCUGGAUGGUGCAUGCAGCAUAAACAGAUGACGUCACAGCCGGGAGCUGCUCCCUCCACAGUUCCUUCCCCAUUGUGAUGGUUCCUCUAACCGUGAACAAAUCACACCCUUUCUCUCAGGAACUACUUCUUGUUAUACACUUUGUAACCAGUACACACCUCACUGCUCAUCUACUCAUUCAGCAGAUCCUCCCUCGUCCCAGCGGCUCCUCCACCUUCCACCCACAGAUUGCCCCUAUUCCACUUCUGAGUCUUCCUACAUGUAAAAACACAUGUGCAUUCUGUAUAAGAGGGAAAGCAUGUGACACUUGCCAUUCUGAACACGGCCUAUUUCUCUGAAUAAGAUGAACUCUAGUGCCAUUCACUGCAAACAACAUACUUUUGUGAAGAGGACAUUGUAGAUGCGAUUCAGUUAGGGAUGUUGAGAUGGACUUUUAGGAUGAUGCAGGUUCAUUUGGGAGCCUAAUGCAGCUGCUGGGGUUCUCUUAAGAGGAAGACAGGAGGGUCAAAGGCAGAGAAUAGGAUGCAGUGAAGGAAGCAGGGAGCAGCGAUGUGAGCGAGGGGCUGGGACGCGGAGUGCAGAAACUUCUAAGAGCUGGGAAAGCAAGGAAGGGCUAGAAAUAUAGCCCUGUCAACAUCUCAAUUUUAAUGUUCGAAUUACCCUAGAUGCACAGAACACAUGAAACUCAAGAAGGAUGACCAAAAUGCGAAGGCUUCACUCCUUCUUUAAAAGGGGAACAAGAAUACCCUUGGGAGGGAUUAGGGAGGCAAAGUUUAGAACAGAGGCUGAAGGAAAACCCAUUCAGAGCCUGCCCCAUGUGUGGCUCAUACAUAUACGGCCACCAAACUAGAUAAGAUGGGUGAAGCAAAGAAGUGCAGGCUGACAGGAACAGGAUGUAGAUCUUUCCUGAGAGACACAGCCAGAAUAUGGCAAAUACAUAGGCGAAUGCCAGCAGCAAACCACUGAACUGAGAACGGGACCCCCAUUGAAGGAAUCAGAGAAAGGACUUGAAGGGCUUGAGACCCCAUAUGAACAACAAUGCCAACCAACCAGAGCUUCCAGGGACUAAACUACUACCUAAAGACUAUACAUGGACUGACCCUGGGCUCCAACUGCAUAGGUAGUAAUGAAUAGCCUAGUAAGGGCACCAGUGGAAGGGGAAGCCCUUGGUCCUGCCAAGACUGAACCCCCCCAGAGAACGGGAUUGUGGGGAGCAGGGCGGUAAUGGGGGGAGGAUGGGAAGGGGAACACCCAUAGAGAAGGGGAGAGGGUGGGGUUAAGGGGAUGUUGGCCAGGAAACUGGGAAAGGUAAUAACAAUGGAAAUGUAAAUAAGAAAUACCCAAUUUAAUAAAGAUGGAGAAAAAAAUAAAAACCCUACAGAAAUGAAAGAUAAUAAUUUUGUUAUUUUAAGUCAUCGAAUAUGUUUGUAUGUUUAUACACGUGUGUAUGUUUAUGUGUAUGUGUGUGAGUUUUUGGGUAUGUGUGUGUAUGUAAGCGUGUGUGUAUGUGUAUGUGUGUGUGUGUGUGUGUGUGUGUGUGUUUGUGUGUAUAUGUGUGUGUGUUUAGUGACAACAGGAAACAGGUGCAA